rnacentral:misc_RNA from 1 species
GACCGGUAUGGUGCUGUAACGACGAGACAGACUCGCAGCGCUUACGCAAGGGUGACCAAAUACCAGUGAGCGAUUCGUCGGACCAAGCGCCUGUUGGCCCGUGAACGUGGGCUGCGGACGCGAUGCCGCGACCGUGCGAGGUGAAGGGCUGCGAAGCUUCGUGUCUUUCGCGCAGGGUGACGCACCGGCUGCCUUCGAAAGAGCCGUACCGGACACUUUGGCUCCAGGCGAUCGGACGCACCGAGGAGGGCCUGAGCAAGACCGCUUCCAUCUGCUCGGACCAUUUCGAGCCGAGUUCGUACGCCGUCAAGUGCAACCGUGGCGCCCGUCUCAAGUACGACGCCGUGCCCACCCUUUUCCUAACCGAGGCCGAGACUGUUCAGCGAGCUGCCGAACUCAACUCUCGACAGAUAGCGCCGUCGACCAAUAAACUCCGACCGCUGGCAAUGAAGCCGAGCGAACUGAUCUUUCGGCCGACUACCCAUAAACUUCAACCGCUGGCAAUGAGACCUACCGGAGCGCCCAACGCCGUGGUGCCCGCCGAACUGGUGCCAAUCACGCUGGUGCCUAGCGUGGCCGUCAGAGUGGUGCGCGCGAUACCUGCGAACUUAUUGGUGCUACCUGCGACGCCCGCCAAUCCGGAACGCCUUCAGAAACAGCCGAUUCCCUGUAUCACAAAGCCGGUUCCUCGUGUCACGAAGCGGGUUCCUCGUAUCAAAGAUCACUUUGAAAUGAUGAAGAAGAAAAUCGGCUGGAAACUGAAGCUAAACAGAAAAAGCGAAUACAGCCAGAUUACCAGCAGUACAACUGAGUAUCCCGAGGAGCCAAGGCAUGAUCCACAGGGUGCAGUGCCCACAUUGACAACAGCACUAAACGAGAACCAGUCCAGUGCAUACGAGACGAAUAUGGCAGAAAAAGAAACGGAAUGCCCAACCAUCGAGACCAGUCGCGUGCAGAUUACCCCUUGCAUUGAAACUCAUGCUACUGUUACAAGACAAACCGAGGGUCAAGAGCAUUCAAAAAACGACAGUUCACCAAAAGCAUUGCCAGUUUCUUCCAAGCACAAGAAAGGCGGUCGAUCCAAAACGCGGAAGAGAAGAGCCGAUUUCGUGGACGAUUCGGCGUCUGAUACAAAUCUUGAUGACGACACAUCUGAAGAUGACCUCCCAAGCCCCUCAUCCAAGUGGAUCACGAAAAAUGACUGCUUCCUUGCCCGGUGCCUGGGAAAGUCAAAAGCUUGCAAAUCGGACUAUGACUGGAUUCAAAAGCAGUUUGCCGAGAUCCAGGAGGAAACGUCAAGACUCAAAAACUCGACAAGUAUAAGAGAUCAUCGCUCUCUGCACUGACAGAAGACUCUAGAUUUUACCGGAAGCUGCAUAGGCAGUUAGAACUCUUUUAAAACAGACAACUGUUUUACAGUGAUGUCACAUUAAUAUUGGAACCUCCGUUCACCUAAAAAAGUGUCCAUAAUGUGUUGUUCAUGAUACUAAGACAAAAAUGUGUGUAAUUACCUGGUUUGUCCCAAAAAUACUUACUAUAUAGCUGGGUAUUCAUAAUAACGGUAUCCAUAUUAAUGAGACAUCGCUGCAAGUAAUGCAUGCAAAAUAACUGCUUUUACCCUAGGAGAUGCUUUUUUGGCAAAUUUCUAUGUAAUACAUAUGAAUAGGCUUCUUGUUACUAUCCAGUCAUAAUGUUGUGUCUGGCAGACCACUGUGGAGACUUGGUUUAUGUAUUUUACUGCGAGGCACUUCAUGUGGUUUAUGGUAUAAUUUCUUUGAUAUAACCGUAAAAUACCGAGCAUGUGCCAUGUUCCCAUAGGUGCCCACCCACUACUUUUAAAAGUUUGAAAACUAAGCAAAGGGCAUGUCAACCACCCACCCCAGUCUUCCGGGCCCUCCUAGCAAUCAGGAAAACUCGUCAGCAGCCUCUCCAAGCACUUUGUUGCAGAGUGGUGAAGCAGACUCUAUGUGCCCUUCUGCAUUUUUAUUCUUAAACCUAACAGUGCCUAUCCCCCACUUCUCAAGAUUAUCUCCAAUUUUGGGUAAGUGCUUGCUCAGUAUUUUAUGGUAAGUCAUUUUGCUGCUUGUUUAUGAAGGUAACCGGACAAAAGCUCACCGGACAGAAGCUCACCUGUUUUUUCACAGACCUGGACAAAACCUCACCUCUUUUUCUCUUUUUUGCUACGCGGGCAAAACAUGGGCUGGGAUAAAAUGCGGACGCGAUGGACAUUGCACCAUUUUCAGGAGAACUGGCAUCCCAUCCCAUGGAAAGGUGUCGACAGAUAAGCCAUAACAGGCAGAGAAGCAAAGAUUAGGGACCAAAAUUUAGGUUACUGAAACUGAGUGGAGCUAAGAUAAAGCUUGCUUGACUCAAGGUAAACCGAAGCACCCUUGUGCCACGCCCAAGAAACUUUGUGAACCAAAACUUUUGAACCCGAAGAGUGACCGAAGAAGCGUUCGGUGGCCUCCUUGGGGUUCAGGGUAACAUUUGAAGUGAAUGGCUAGGAAAAUUAAAUUCUUUCCAUCAUUGAGUGUCAUAAAUGUAUUUAAAAUCAAGGGUUAUCUCAGGGUGAUGUGAAAGGGAAACAAGCAAAACUGUAAUAUAUAAACUAUCGAGUUGCGAUUUGUUUUAUAUCUUGAAGGAACGGGAUUUGGGCCCUUUGGGCAAGUGCAAGACAGAUGAUCAAUUUAGGAAGCUGUGCGGGAUUUUGGUUAGGCUGGCGUUCCUUCCACCACAGCUUGUGCCCGAAAGACUAACCUACAUCAGGAAAAAGUCUACAGGCGACAUCGGCGACCUGCUGGACUACUUUGAUUGCACGUAUGUCAACGGCCCCUUCCGUUAUGCUUGUGCUCCUUCUGUGGCGGCACCCAGAGCGAACUCUUCCCUUUGCCCGACUGUGUGCUGACGAUGACUGGAGUUUCCCCCAGAACUGUGGAAUAUGUACGACGCCACUCUUCAAGAUAAAGACCGGACGAACAACACCUUCAAAGGAUAGAAUACCGGGACCCAGAAGUUUGCCGGCCACGUCUAUCCAAGCGUCUGGGGGCUGAUUGAAUGCCUACAGGAAAAUCAGGCGCUCGUUUCCACAGCAUUGACACAAGCCCGGAGAGGUGAACCCCCAGAGAAGCGGGUGCGAAAAACCACUCUGCACCUGCACAAUCGUCUGAAAAAUAUUUUCGAGGGGUUCCGGGUACACCCAGAUCUACCAAGACUGCUGGAGCUAGUAAGGGACUGCAUUCGCUUCUAAUCAAUCGAUAAAUCAACUUGUUUCUACUCUAAUCAGCAAACUAUAUGUGCCUGUCAGAUUUAAUUUAUCGUUACAUUUUAGUGUUGCACGCAUGCACCUAAGUUGUCCGCCCUCGUGUUAAGAUUAACAUGAAAGUUUCUCCUGGUGAGCUUUUGUCCGGGUCUGUGAAAAAAUGGGCGAGCUUUUUUCUGUGCUGCGAGUUUUUUCCGGGAUUUGUUUAUGAAGAGGUUUUGACUUCAGGCCAAGGCAAGGCAAAUCUUGUGAAGAGUUCAGCAUGACAUCAUACAAACGGAAAGCCACUAUGCAUGAAAGGAGAGCAAAAGUGUCUUCAUGGGUGAAUGUCAGCAUAAGCAUGCCUCGAAAAUGUCAAACUUUUAUUCAUUGCCCACCUGUAAAAUUUUGAACACUGCCAUUUGUGGACCAGUAUUGUUGCCAUCAUGGCUUUUUAAUUAUUUUUUCUCUAAGGCAGUCUUUUUACUUAACUUGUAUGGGGAUAGUUGAGCAAAGACUAAGUUUUAAAUAUAGUAGGUUAGUGGAAUUUGUGCAUAUUUGCCAUUUUAUACGAAAGUCAGCUAUACAAAAUUACAACAUUUUCAGAAGUUAUUUUCAGUUAACACAAGCUUGCUAGUUCUGUAGACCUAGCAACAUGCUGUACCAUGAUAAAGCUUUGUGUUACCCCAAGACAUGGCAUCCAAGUGUGGGACUAUAAUAAGUAAUAACGCUCAAAUGGAUCAUAUCCACAGAUUUAUUCUAAUCAGCUUUUGGUUCAUGCAAAAGCCACCAAAAAUAGAUGCUGCAUGCUGAUAAACUUAUAGUUUUGACCCUUAUCCUAAGGAUUAAGUAACAAUUUACACCAAGCAUAACUUAACUUCAGUAAGAAGGGUUUGAAACACUGCUUCAAUGAGUAGUUCAUACGGCAAAUCAAACAACCUAAACUUGCCAAAUAUUGUCUACCAUAUUUGACCCGAGAAUAGAAACAAAAUAAAAAAAUCAACAAGCACACAAUUUAUUUAUGUGUGUGUGUGCUUUGUCCAUUUUUUUUUAUAUUAGUUCCUAAUCCUGGGUGAAUAAUGGAAGUCGUGCAGCAGCUGGCCUGUGUUUUUAUCCUUUCCUCAUUGAAUAUUCUGCUUGUUUUCUCGACUUCUGAGCCCAUGCCGGCAAGUUCAUUUCUAGGUACAAAAUUGUAAAUAAAUAUUUACUUGUCACUUUCA